AUGGAUCUGUGUUCAGUUGGAGUCCAGCUUUGUACCACACACGACUGCCAUAAAGCCUUUUAUACUCAAGACAUUGAAAGAGUUGUCAUCAAAAAUGACAUGUUUUCACUUCAGCUUAGAACUGGAAUGAUACUUUCUGGGAAUAAUACAAUUUUUCUCCAUCAUGUAAAAAUGUAUAUUGACAGAUUUGAAGAGUUGCAGAAGUUAUUUGUGACCCAUUUAACUUACACAAGAAGCUAGCUCAAAAGGAUCUGCAUGUAAUUGACUUAGAUGAUGUCACUUUUAUGAGCACAAAGUUUGGGAGACAAUUCGUACCUGAUUGAAAGCUUUGUCCAAAAUGUACCCAGAUUACCAAUGGAAGUGUGGAUGUUGAUUCAGAUGACUGCCAGAGAUGGAAACCUGAGUCAGAUGGAAGGACUGCUAAAGCUCUGAGGUCACUACAGUUUACAAACCCAGGAAAGCAAACUGAAUUUGCUUUGGAAAGUGGUAAAAGUGAGAAAAGAAAGCUCACCAAAAAUUCAUGCACUGCUUCCAACAGACAAAUUAUUCCAGCAAAGAGUACAGUGUAUGACUGCCAGGGCCUGCUGAUUUUCAGUGGCAUGAACCUCUGUGACUGCCUGGACGAGGACUGCUUGGGAUGUUUCUAUGCCUGCCCCACUUGUGGCUCUACCAAAUGUGGUGCCGAGUGCCACUGCAACUGCAAGUGGCUAUAUGAGCAGAGAGAGUUUGAAGGAGGAGAGAUAAUCCACAAUAAACAUGGUGGAAAAGCAUAUGGCCUGUUAUCUCCCUGUCACCCAUAUGAUAUUUUACAAAGAUGAUCAUCCAAAUAUUGACCAGCAAAGACAAAAAUGAGGCAAAGAAAUAAACAGUGACAUUUCUGGAAGUGAAGUUUGGAUCAGUCGUAAAUGGAAUUGUAGACAUCUCCACUAGUCCAGAGUGUUGAUUACCAUUGCUGUUCUGGAGACAGAUGUACAUCAGAGGAACCUGAUGAUGGAAACUUACCACAUUGUCAAGAGAAGAUCUGUCUGCAAACUUGGUGGAAGUUCCCAUGGUCCCCA